GUUGAAGCAUGUCGAUGUGCUUGAUUUCUCUUUGUGAAAGGCGCUUCAGAGCAUAUUGAAGCCCGUUUCCCAUCAGAUUACUGUGCUUGUCAGAGGGAAGAGAAGGGAGUACUGCCUCGUGUCACCAUGUUUUCGCCUCAUGUGAAAUCUUUUCAUGGGCUCUCUGUAAAUUUGGUCGCAGGGAUUUAUCUUCUGCCUCCUUUUACAGAUCGAUGUUAUACUCCUAUUGCAUUACCUCUGCUGAUAUGUUUCAGUACUGGUUUUACUGUCUUCUAUUAGUGGACGAGGGUCUAUGGGUAAGUAUAUUUUUUAUAUAAACACUCACAGCUAUGGGUUGGGCACAUUGUAUAUCUAUGUUUAUGUAUGGCCCAGGAACAUAUUCUUAUUAGUCCCCUUGCUUGUUAUUUUUUUGCACCCAAAAUGUUUUCUCAUGCAUAUGCAAGCGCGCAUUCAAACAACCGCAUAUUUAUGCGACCGUUAAAAAUGCAAGUGUUUUCUUCCCCAUGCGCGCGUCUGGUUCACGCACCAUUUCUGUUACGCCCUUUUUUUCACGCCUUUUAGUAUUUGAAUUUUUGUGUCAUAAUAAAUGCUUUUUAGUAUCGUGUCACUAUUGGCGCAUCAGUAUCGCGCACUUUAGGACGUAUAAUAGAUGCGCCUUUUAGCGAGCCUUUUUUCUCUCUAUAAGAUUGCAUUUUAAAUUUGCACAAACUGACAUUAAAGGGACAGUUUACCCAAAUCAAGAUCUAUUUUUAUUCCAUUUAUGAAGCAAAAGUAAACCUAUAUGUGUGUGGCUUUUUUUUAUAUUCGUUUUGUAACUUUAUAUCAUUUUUUUGUAAUGUGCCAUUUUUAUGGGCUGCUAACAAACCCAUUUAGAUAUUUUCUGGCUGUGCGGCUAUUUGAGCACAGUCCCUUCUGUGCAGGGCGCAUGCCCAAGCACCCAUGGUGACAUCAACGCUAGUGUGAACACGGACGUGCCCUCAAUAAAAAGCUUGUCCAUGUUCAGCGGUGAGUUGCUGGUUUAUUCUGCUAGAGCACGCAGAAGUACAAAAUUUCAAUUCACAGUGGCUCUUUUACAGUGUUUAUUAAAAGCUCACUAGCGCCACUCAAGCAAGAAUAUUUUCCAUAUACACCAUUGACUUAGAUUUGCGCUUUAGACAUAGGGCUCAAUGAUAGAAAGCUUGUCAUUGGUGGCGAGAAAUGUGUAUUUCUGUCUCACCUAUCUCGCAAAUUUCACGCCUUGUGUAAUGAUCGUAUAAAGUGGGCAGUCUAUUGUAAACAAUACGUUACGCGAUAAGCUGUCCAUAGUAAACUAUAAGCUUCGCCUCCUCAUUUCACGAACUUCGAAAUGGGUUUCCAAAUAUCAUUGCGUCGCUUUGUAAUUUUAAUGAUUCACUUUAUUUCAGUUUGUGUUUGCAUAUUUCAAAAUGUAAAACUACAGUUAUAGUAUAUUGUCUAAUUACGUUAUAUCGUAAUAUUUUUUAAAUUAAAUAAAUAUUGUAAAUGUUAUUCAUGUUAAUUCGCCAAAGGAUGGGUGGCGAGACAUGUAUGUGUGUUAAAUGUGCGAUUCGUAUGGCAUAUGUUUUUAUAUCAUCAUAACAUAUAUAUGAAACUUGCGGGAUUUACUCAGGUUACGCCCAUGGAACGCCCAUCUAACGCCCUCUCCUUUUCAAUGAAACUCUCCUUCGCAAUGAAUUCUGCUUUUACUGUGCUGGUUAUAUUUUGUUAUUCUUUUUAUUGAAAUCUUACAAUAAAUUUUUUUACGCUCUUUAUUUAUUUAAUAUUUUCACUCAUUUGUAUUAUUUCGAAAUUGCGUAUAUGUUAUAAAAAAUGUUCAAUGUGCAAUAAUUGUUAACCAAUCAUAUUUACUGUUAUAUUAUUUCUGUUACCAUAAUACCUUGCAAUACAUUUAUGUACGCAUAUUUAUGAGUACUUCCUUAAUAUUCUCCAAUCACAGCAUAUUUUACAUUUUACGCUGGUUACAUGUAUAUUUAUAUAGAUAUCAUAUUUUAUUCUGUGAGGCAGUUGAUGAGAUUUGUGAAAAAUGGUUGCUGAGAGGUUUUCAGUUGUGGAGAACGAAAUCCUUGUAUCUGCUUUGGAGCCAAACUAUGACAUGCUUUUUGGACCACAGAGGCGUGACACUAGUUUAAAGACAAUGGAUGCAAUCUGGGAAGAUAUUGCUGAAAUGGUCAAUUUAAAUGGCACACAUAUAAAGACUGUGGCUCAAUGUCGCAAAAGGGUUGCAGAUAUUUAAAGGAACCUUCUUAGAAAGAAUAAGAGGAGGAGACGAUUUUUAAAAUAUGAAAAAAUAUUUAUUAAACUUUUAAUGUCUGUAAACCCUAUGUGGACAUUGAGCAACAGUCUACUUCAGCAUCAUCUUCCCAAACUUCUCCCUUGUGUGAAGAACAUGUAGAUGUCUCUGUUGGCCCAGAAAGUGAUGUUGCACAGCAAAAUAAUACUGAGGAUGUGGAUGAAGGUAAUUUCUUUUCUUUGUUUUUUUUAUUUGGUUAACAUAUCAUGUUCCUUAUAAAAAAAAUUACAAAAAGUUUGUUUUAAUUUAGUGCAAGAAGUAACUACAUCACCAGCAUUACUUGCUGAAAGCACUGAGGCAGCAUGUGAAAGUGAACAAUUCGAAAUUGAAGAAAUUCAAGAAUUGGAAUUCCUCAUUACCGAUGCUGAAAAUGAAAAUUCAAUUAGUGCAAAUGUGGUUGAUGCUGACAAUGCAGAAGAUUUUGAACCACAUGAACAAGGAAAACGGGAAGAGAAUACAUUUGGGAAAAUGUGUGUUUUGCUAGAAAAUAUAAACACUAAUAUCACAGUUUUGAAAGACUCAAUGCUUCACCAUUUUUCGGAAAAAUAAAGUUCACAACCAAAAAAUAAGAAGACUUUUAACCAGAAUCAUUGAAAACCAAAAAGAACAGCGUGUUAUGAUGUUCAGAGAAAGAAGGUGGCAAGGAAGGGCAUUUUAUUCUGGGGUUAAAACACGUGGUGGACCAUUUUAUCAUCCACAUUAAUAUCUUAUGUUUGUUUUUUGUUGUUUUUUGUUUGAAAGUUAAUAAAAAGAAUGUUUAUAA